rnacentral:lncRNA from 12 species
CUCCUCUCCAUGCAAACAGGCAGAAUCCACCUAGAAGUGCCAUGGUAACGGGCUGAAGGGAUGCUGUCUGCAGUGCUGCAGGUGCUCUGCCUGCAGCUGCUCUAGGAGCCUGGGGUGAUGCUCUGUUGUGUGCUGUGGGAGCCCACUUGGUCCUGAGGCUUUGCAAAUCAUGUUCAAGACCUCCUGAGAGGGCUGUGUCUCCAUUCACAAAGCUGAAGGUUGCUAAAGCUUGGUUUUGUAGCUCUGCUUGUGGUGCUGAUGCCUUGGAAUGGGAUUAG